rnacentral:rRNA from 1 species
AUUGAACGCUGGCGGCAGGCCUAACACAUGCAAGUCGAGCGGGGUUUUCGGACCUAGCGGCGGACGGGUGAGUAAUGCGUAGGAAGCUACCCGAUAGAGGGGGAUACCAGUUGGAAACGACUGUUAAUACCGCAUAAUGUCUACGGACCAAAGUGUGGGACCUUCGGGCCACAUGCUAUCGGAUGCGCCUACGUGGGAUUAGCUAGUUGGUGAGGUAAUGGCUCACCAAGGCGACGAUCCCUAGCGGGUUUGAGAGGAUGAUCAGCCAGACUGGAACGGAGACACGGUCCAGACUCCUGCGGGAGGCAGCAGUGGGGAAUAUUGGACAAGGGGCGCAAGCCUGAUCCAGCCAUGCCGCGUGUGUGAAGAAGGCCUUCGGGUUGUAAAGCACUUUCAGCGAGGAGGAAGGGGUGAGUGUUAAUAGUACUCAUCUUUGACGUUACUCGCAGAAGAAGCACCGGCUAACUCUGGGCCAGCCGCCGCAGUAAAAC